UGCAGUCGUACGCUUCUUUUUCCACCGGAGCUUGCUCCACCGGAAAAAGAAGAGUGGCGAACGGGUGAGUAACACGUGGGUAACCUGCCCAUCAGAAGGGGAUAACACUUGGAAACAGGUGCUAAUACCGUAUAACAAUCGAAACCGCAUGGUUUUGAUUUGAAAGGCGCUUUCGGGUGUCGCUGAUGGAUGGACCCGCGGUGCAUUAGCUAGUUGGUGAGGUAACGGCUCACCAAGGCCACGAUGCAUAGCCGACCUGAGAGGGUGAUCGGCCACAUUGGGACUGAGACACGGCCCAAACUCCUACGGGAGGCAGCAGUAGGGAAUCUUCGGCAAUGGACGAAAGUCUGACCGAGCAACGCCGCGUGAGUGAAGAAGGUUUUCGGAUCGUAAAACUCUGUUGUUAGAGAAGAACAAGGAUGAGAGUAACUGUUCAUCCCUUGACGGUAUCUAACCAGAAAGCCACGGCUAACUACGUGC
rnacentral:rRNA from 1 species